rnacentral:rRNA from 1 species
UCCGCAUUGUAAUCUCAAGAAGUGUUUUCCGCUUCGGACCAAGCCUAAGUCCCUUGGAAAAGGGCAUCAUAGAGGGUGAUAAUCCCGUACAUGGCUUGGAGCGCCCGAAGCUUUGUGAUACGCUUUCUAAGAGUCGAGUUGUUUGGGAAUGCAGCUCAAAAUGGGUGGUAAAUGCCAUCUAAGGCUAAAUAUUGGGGAGAGACCGAUAGCGAACAAGUACAGUGAUGGAAAGAUGAAAAGAACUUUGAAAAGAGAGUUAAACAGUACGUGAAAUUGCCAAAAGGGAAGGGUAGGAGGUCAGAGAUGCGGCCUGGGAUUCAGCCUUGCUUUUGCUUGGUGUUUUUCCCAGAUUGCAGGCCAACGUCGGUUUUGGGCACUGGAGAAGGGUAGGAGGAACGUGGCACCUCUCGGGGUGUGUUAUAGCCUCCUACUGGAUACAGCGACCGAGACCGAGGACAGCAGCGUACUCGCAAGAGCGGGCCUUCGGGCACCUUUACGCUUAGGGCGUU